CAGAGAGGUUUGAAGAUGUUUGGGUAGUAUCUGGACCAUUGACCUUACCUCAAACUAGAAGUGAUGGAAAGAAAGCAGUUAGUUAUCAGGCAAUGAAGCAUAUAUGUGUUUUUAUUUUGGAGGAAGUGAAACAAAUGAACUGGCAUUUAUUGAGGGCUGUGUAUGUCAGGUGGUAUCUGAGGUCAUCCAUGUGCUUUCUCUGAUGUGCCUGUUUCAAGAAGAGAUUGAUUCCAGACAAUUGAAACAUACCUGAAGAUUCUGGCUUGGACAUUAUAAAUGACCUGACAAGAAAGUGAGCUUCAGCUUUUCCAACUCAGUGGUGUUGGUAAUGUUAGAAGUAUUUGCCAAUCUGUGUUCUCCUUCUAUAGCAGCACUUCCCAAACUUCCACCGGCCAACCCUAGAGUGGGAGGAUUUGAAAACGUGCCCCCAGGAGUCUUGAGGCAUCACCUGAAGUGAAAAGGGAGUAAUUUUUUUUUUAAGUCUUAUGUUUUAUAUUUAGGGAAAGCUUUUGUUCAUUUCCAUAUCUAUUCAUUUGAAUGAAAAGUAAAUUAUUUUACUGAUUGUCUCCUUACACCCUGUACUUCCCACCCUACCCCAUAAAUCUUCAAGUACUAUUGACAGUCUGGGAAGAAGGCACUUGUUUGACUGGGACUUAACAGGCUUCUACCCAUUGGCCCAGAGCAGGUACCCCAGCGUGAGAAGUACUGUCUUCCAGGGUUUGAGCUACCGCACAAGCAUCCGCUGAGGCGUUACAGAUAACACAAGGGGCAACCACAUUUUUGUUGACUUUCCUACACCUUGUGACUCCCUCACUUUUCUCAUUCCUUCUCUCCUCUCAGGGGAAUAGAACCAAAUAUAUCUAUCUGAUUCUAAGAGGUACAUAUUUUUUCCUUAUGGCCCUACUUAAUGUUUCAUUUAAGGCACAAUUGCUGUACAUACGGCAUUACAAACAGCAGGUUUAGUGUGGGUGUUGGUUGUUGCAGGUCUCUUCUGGGGCCAGGGGAUGGAAUGUUGGUGGCAAAUUGUCGUUUCUGUUUCUUAUCAAAGGAAACAAGCUCAGGCCAGCAUAUGAGAAAGGUAACUUUGAGUUGUGAGUGAGUGCCCACUUAUGUAUUGUAUUUUUUAGUUAUUCCCAGUCAGUUUCCAAUUUUUGUUACAAUCUUGACAAGAGUUUAGUGCUUUUUUAGUAUUUAACAGCAGAGUGAGGGUUUCCUUUGUAAAGUAUUUUUAUACCUAAAUCUUAUAUGAAAAAGGGUUGUUGCUGAUUUACUGAUACCAAAUACUAGGUUCUUGUUAAGCCUUCAAGCCGUUGUUUGGGACAUCCUUUGUGUCCAACUUGCUUUCUCUUCCUGAAAGCCCAUUGUUGACUUUCAGCUGAUCUAAUCCUGCUUGAUUCCCUCGGCAAAACCAUCUUUUGUACCCAGUGCAGUUGUAGUCCCCAUCUUUUGAGUCAUGUCCACUACAGAAAUAGCUUUUUACAUAGUCUUGUGUGUUUGAAAUUUUUUUUAAACUAACAUGUCAUGGUAUGUAUCUUCCUAACAAUUUCAUGAGAGAGGCAGCAUGGGUAUUGCUAUUACCUAUUUCAUAAAUGACCAGAUCUCUGCCUCAGUACCAUAGGUGUGUUUAGAAACAUUUUCUGGAAGUCUUCCAGUUUUCCCCAAUGUGAGAAAAAUUUAUUACGCAGUUUUGAAUUAUCUACAAAGAAGAAGAUAGCUCGAAAAUAUUUUAAGAUCAAUUUUUUAAAAAUUAUCCUAAAUUCAAGGAAGAAACAGUGGGUUUUCUAAAUUUCCAAAAAGGACUGGUCCCUGUUUUAGACAGGUUAGAGAUGUUUCCUUCUUGAGAACCAAGCUCACUGAAUCAAAGAAGAGAUAAUGAAUAGUUAAGUUUUUAUUUUUCUCCUUAUUUCUAGGGAUAGUAGUUUACCCCUUUGAAAUAUUUUGAGUAGAAGGGGUCACACCUUGUGGUUCCUAAUAGGAAUUUUUAUGUCUAUGAAGUUGCUCAAAAGUAGUAAUGGACGUCCUUUUUAGCUAUUAUGAGAGUUUUUAAAAACCUAUAGAAAUGGUACAUUUCCGUGAAGUAAGGCUGUGGUACUUAAAAUGUCACACUUCUUUUGGGUGGAAUUUAAUGAGCCUGAUUAGAAGCUCUUGUUGGCAGCAAAUGGGCAUGACCAGUUAAUUAUUUUUGAAAAUUGCCAUGUGUUUGUAGACAAGGAGUCCAUGAGGAGAGAAAAUAAUCAAGGGAAUGGUUGGAAUCUGAGAACUGUGCUGCAGUGAUGAGAAAUGUCCACGAGGUGGCACCAAGAAUUUGCUUAAGUGUGGGAUCCCCAGCUAGGGCCUGGAACACUUACAGCCCAUUUCAACCUCCCCCCCUUGUGAACUGUGGCCCAGCUGCAGCUGUGCCCUCAGUUCUGGUCCCCAACUUCCACUGAACCCCUCUAGUGCUGCUAUUUGUGUGCUAUAUUGGCAUCUAACCACAUUCUGCCUGCAGCGAAAGCUGUGGGUAUUGGCUCCCCCUCCAGAUGAUAAGUUUCUUGAAAGUAGGCACCAGCUACAUUUACUUUAAAACUUAUUCCUUCCUGUGCUUCCAGCAGUGCCAGGCACAGGACCUCUGAGUUGCAUUGUUGAAUUAACAUCUCUUGGUGAUCUGUGGGCUAAUUGUGGACCUCCAUAGGGCUCACUCUCAAUAUAUUUUUUUGCUUUGAAGUGUAUGUUUAUUUUCCCGGGUGCAUGAAUGAUUUUGGGGGGUAAGAGUGGGGAUUUUGUCUUGUUGAUUGUGUAGUUUCAUAGACUACACCACACCCUGACCAACCAACUUCAAAGACAAUUGGUUAUAGAAAUCAUUCCUGUGUUUGGGUCUUCCCUGCAGUCCUGCAGUUGGUCUUGGCAGUGGGACCUCCACGUGUGACAGACAGCAGAUGGCUGUGGAGUUCCCAUGCUGUGUGCCAUGUAGGUGAUUGGUGAUGACAAUGUGGCAGUCCCCUCACACCUUUAUAAGGUGAUCCUGGCCCGCAGAAGCCCAGUAUCUACUGAACCUCUG